ACACCUCGCAACUGGAGAGCGGCGCGGCCAUGCCGUAAAACACCCAACUUCUGAAUGUUGACCUCGAAUCAGGUAGGAAUACCCGCUGAACUUAAGCAUAUCAAGGCCGGAAGAAAAC
rnacentral:rRNA from 1 species